rnacentral:ncRNA from 2 species
AUGAUUGCAUGGGGAGAGCGCGCAUUGGGCGCCGCCGAAGGAGCAAGUAACGAAUGUUAUGAAUCUCUCAGGUAAAAAAACGCAUGCAGGACG